CUAAGUUAACCAAGAUGACGUCACUGAGGUUGGGCUUACCGCUGGAGGAAGGGCAUUCUGGGAGGUGAAGGGUUAAGGAGAAACCAAACUAAGACAUCAAGAUGAGAUCAUGCCACAAAUUAAAAUAAAUAAAAAAAAAAAUGUAAGGCCCAGACACAAAAUGAGUAAAGAGUCAAUAUAGAAAAUGAAACCAAUAUGAGUAACUGGUUGAGCAAGUCUGCAAAAAAUAAGAGGGGGAAAAAAAAAUCAAACCAUCAAAGGUCACACUUAACUGGGAUUUCUAGAUAUAUGAAGGUCAACCGCAUGUGUGAAAGCAGACUAAUUCAUUAAUCAUGAUGAACAAGUAAACUUCAGACUCCAUCUUUGUAGACACCAGAAAA